CACGUAGGGCGCAAGCGUUGUCCGGAAUUAUUGGGCGUAAAGAGCUCGUAGGCGGUCUGUCACGUCGGGUGUGAAAGCCCGGGGCUUAACCCCGGGUCUGCAUUCGAUACGGGCUAGCUAGAGUGUGGUAGGGGAGAUCGGAAUUCCUGGUGUAGCGGUGAAAUGCGCAGAUAUCAGGAGGAACACCGGUGGCGAAGGCGGAUCUCUGGGACGGUACUGACGCUGAGACGCGAAAGCGUGGGGAGCGAACAGG
rnacentral:rRNA from 1 species